AGAGUUUGAUCCUAGCUCAGGAUGAACGUUGGCGGCGUGGAUAAGGCAUGCAAGUCGAACGCACCGAUCCAGUGCUUGCACUGGUAAAGUGAGUGGCAGACGAGUCAGUAGAACCUUGGUAACCUACCCCAAAGUCUUGGAUAACCUGUGGAAACAUAGGCUAAUACAAGAUGGUCUGCAUAAUCUAAGGAUUAUGUUGUAAAGCUUCGGUGCUUUGGGAGGGGCCUAGGACGUAUCAGCUUGUUGGUGAGGUAAUGGCUCACCAAGGCUACGACGCGUAGGGGACCUGAGAGGGUGACCCCCGACGAUGGGACUGAGACACGGCCCAUACUCCUACGGGAGGCAGCAGCCGAGAAUCUUCCGCAAUGCGCAUAUUUGCGUGACGGAGCGACGCCGCGUGAAGGAUGAAGCCCUGUGGGGUGUAAACUUCUGUCGAAUGGGAGCAAUUCAAGAGAGAGUACCAUUCUAAUAGAGGCUGCUAACUUCGUGCCAGCAGCAGCGGUAAUACGAAGGCCUCGAACGUUAUCCGGAUUUAUUGGGCGUAAAGCGUCCGCAGGUGGAAUUGUAGGUUAUUGUUUAAAUCCUUGGGCUCAACCCAAGGCCUGGCGAUAAAACCCCAAUUCUAGAGCAUGUUAGAGGUAAGCGGAACUCAUGGUGUAGCAGUGAAAUGCGUUGAUAUCAUGGGGAACACCAAAGGCGAAGGCAGCUUACUGGGACAUUGCUGACACUCAGGGACGAAAGUAUAGGUAUCGAAGCGGAUUAGAUACCCGCGUAGUCUAUACCCUAAACGAUGAAUACUAGACAUUUCGAGUAUCGACCCUCGGAGUGUCGAAGCUAACGCGUUAAGUAUUCCGCCUGGGAAGUACGGCCGCAAGGCUAAAACUCAAAGGAAUAGACGGGAGCUCGCACAAGCGGUGGAGCAUGUGGUUUAAUUCGAUACUAAGCGGGGAACCUUACCAAGGCUAGAAACUCAACUGUGGGUCUUUGGAAACUUAGACUGUCUUCGAGAUCGUUGAGCAGGUGAUGCACGGUUGUCGUCAGCUCGUGCCGUGAGGUGUUCCGUUAAGUCGGGAAACGAGCGCAACCCUCAGAUUCAGUUACAAGUGUCUGUAUCGACUGCCUGGGUUAACCAGGAGGAAGGAGAGGAUGACGUCAAAUCAGCGUGUUCCUAGACGCCUUGGGCUACACACGUGCUACAAUGGGAAGGACAACGAGUUGCAAAAUCGCAAGAUCAAGCUAAUCUCUUAAACCUUUCCUCAGUUCGGAUAAAGGGCUGAAACUCGCCCUUUUGAAGCUGGAAUCGCUAGUAAUCGCAGAUCAGCCUCGCUGCGGUGAAUACGUUCUCGAGCUUUGUACUCACCGCCCGUCACGUCAAGGGAGCCGGUAAUACCCAAAGCAUGUUCAUUAAGGACAUACCACGGUAGGAUCGGUAACAGGGACGAAGUCGUAACAAGGCAUCCGUAGCGGAAGCUGUGGAUG
rnacentral:rRNA from 1 species